UUGGCUAGACAGACAAAAUUAGCCUUUCUUUCUUUACUCUAUUUCCGUUGCACUGCAAUGAGUAAAAAGGGGCAGCAGUAAUAUGCCAAUUUUGGCCUGGGCCUAAUCCAAAAAUAAACCAAAUAAAAACUCUAAAAAAUAAAAGUCCAAAUAACAAAUAAAAUAGCAGCCCAAUCAAAAUCCCAAUACCAGGCCCAAACUAUAAACCCCAAAUAGCCCAACCCAAAUCACUAACCCUAGCCCAAAACAAAAGAAAAACAGAAAACCCUAGCCUACGCUCAGCCGCCGCACGCCCCAACGGCAGCCUCCGCAUGCGCCGCCUUCCCCAC
rnacentral:lncRNA from 1 species